GGGUUUUGGGAUACUUGGGGUUAAGCGUCCUUAGGUUUGAAUAGUAUUAGAGUUAAGUGUCCUUGGGUUUGAAUAGUAUUGGGCUGAGUGACCUCCUGAGAAGUCCAAAUUCAGGAGUUU
rnacentral:rRNA from 1 species